CUGCAACUGAAGCAAACAUGAACCGUGUCUUUGGAAAGAACCUGCUAGGGGCCGUUGUCAUCGCUAUAGUUAUCCUCAUCAUGGCACCAACUAACGCGGCCGCUGGUGCAUCAGGUGUAGGAGGAAACGAUGGCAUUGGCGGUGUUGACAAGUAAAUCUACAAUCAUGCCUGGAGCAGCUCUCACUUGUUGACACGCUAUUGAAAGCUCAUGGGAAUUUAAUAAAUAGCGUUUUGCAUAAAAA